rnacentral:rRNA from 1 species
AGAGUUUGAUCAUGGCUCAGAAUCAACGCUGGCGGCGUGCCUAACACAUGCAAGUCGAACGAGAAAGUCCGCAAGGAUGAGUACAGUGGCGACCGGGUGAGUAACACGUGACUAACCUACCUCCGAGUGGGGAAUAACUCCGGGAAACCGGAGCUAAUACCGCAUAACAUCGCAAGAUCAAAGCAGCAAUGCGCUUGGAGAGGGGGUCGCGGCUGAUUAGCUAGUUGGUAGGGUAACGGCCUACCAAGGCGAAGAUCGGUAUCCGGCCUGAGAGGGCGCACGGACACACUGGAACUGAAACACGGUCCAGACUCCUACGGGAGGCAGCAGUGGGGAAUUUUGCGCAAUGGGGGAAACCCUGACGCAGCAACGCCGCGUGGAGGAUGAAGUCCCUUGGGAUGUAAACUCCUUUCGACCCGGACGAUACUGACGGUACGGGUGGAAGAAGCACCGGCUAACUCUGUGCCAGCAGCCGCGGUAAUAC